GAAGUACUUUUUGGCUGUAAGAGUUAGGGAUAGUAGUAGUAGUAGUAAUAGUAGUAGUAGUAGUAGGUCAGUGAGUGCGGGAGAGUAGUGAGUAAUUGUCGUGUGAUGGUGAGUGGUGAGUGACUGGUGACUGGAGGUUGAAAUGGAACUCUUAAGAACGUAAGAAGAGGAGAAGGAGGAGGAAGGAAGAAGAAGAAGAAGAAGAAGAGGAAGAAGAAGAAGAA